rnacentral:misc_RNA from 1 species
GAUGAAGAACGUAGCGAAAUGCGAUACUUGGUGUGAAUUGCAGAAUCCCGUGAACCAUCGAGUCUUUGAACCCAAGUUGCGCCCGAAGCCAUUAGGCCGAGGGCACGCCUGCCUGGGUGUCACACACCGUUACCCUCGCGCCAACGUCCAUCGUUGGCCGCGGCGCGGGGCGUGCGCUGACCUCCCGCGAGCGGGGUCUCGUGGUUGGUUGAAAAUCGAGUUCGCGGUCGAGGGUGCCGUGAUGAAAUGGUGGAUGGGCGACGCCCGAGGCCAAUCACGCGCGACUCUGUCCGGCUCGGACUCCUGGACCCCUUCGGCGUCUCCGGACGCUCUUUGGCGAGACCUCAGGUCAGGCGGGGCUACCCGCUGAGUUUAAGCAUAUCAUAGCGGAGGA